GUGAGGAAUAUUGGACAAUGGGCGAAAGCCUGAUCCAGCCAUGCCGCGUGUGUGAAGAAGGUCUUCGGAUUGUAAAGCACUUUAAGUUGGGAGGAAGGGCAGUAAGUUAAUACCUUGCUGUUUUGACGUUACCGACAGAAUAAGCACCGGCUAACUUCGUGCCAGCAGCCGCGGUAAUACGAAGGGUGCAAGCGUUAAUCGGAAUUACUGGGCGUAAAGCGCGCGUAGGUGGUUUUGUAAGUUGGAGGUGAAAUCCCCGGGCUCAACCUGGGAACUGCCUCCAAAACUGCAUGACUAGAGUACGGUAGAGGGUAGUGGAAUUUCCUGUGUAGCGGUGAAAUGCGUAGAUAUAGGAAGGAACACCAGUGGCGAAGGCGACUACCUGGACUGAUACUGACACUGAGGUGCGAAAGCGUGGGGAGCAAACAGGAUUAGAUACCCCGGUAGUCC
rnacentral:rRNA from 1 species